AGGUUUCGUAGGUGAACUGCGGAAGGAUCAUUGUCGAAAAUUGCCAGGCAGAGCGACCCGCGGACAUGUUGAAAUAAAUCGUCGGGGGCGCACGGCGUCAAACGUGGCACGGUGCCCUCGACCGCCGGCACCUUACGGCCUGCUCCAGGAGCGGCAACGGGGGUGCGGGGCAAGGCUUGGCACAAGCAUGAACCCCGGCGCGGAUCGCGCCAAGGAACGGUAACAUAGCGUGCGCUGCCCUGCCGCCGGAUGCCCGGCGAGCGAGGGGGCGACCUGUCGUAUCUGGACGACUCUCGGCAACGGAUAUCUCGGCUCUCGCAUCGAUGAAGAACGUAGCGAAAUGCGAUACUUGGUGUGAAUUGCAGAAUCCCGUGAACCAUCGAGUCUUUGAACGCAAGUUGCGCCCGAAGCCUCUAGGCUGAGGGCACGUCUGCCUGGGCGUCACGCAUAGCGUCGCCCGCGACCAAGCCACCGCGUCUGUGCAUGCUAGGUCUGGGCGGAGAGUGGCCUCCCGUGCGCCGUUGUGCGGCUGGCCUAAAGUUGGAGCUCGGCGGCUGUGACACGACGUCCGGUGGUCGACAAGGCGAAGGCCAAGGUUGCAUCGCGUCGCGCUCGGCACGUCGCCCGUGAAGCUCGCAC
rnacentral:rRNA from 1 species